rnacentral:lncRNA from 1 species
AGCACGUGCUGGUGACUCUGCCUGCCCUUGGAGUCUUCUCUGCCCUGCUUUGUGCCAGGAGAGGCCAACUGCCAUAGGCUGCAUCACUCAGGCUCCGUGGUCUGGCUUCUGGUUAUAUUUACACAAAGGAAGGAUGGACAGAAAGUGCUUUGGAGUCAUUAUUUACCUCCCCUCCUCACGGCUGAACCUCAAUUCUGGCUUCAGCUCUUGAUGACCGGCACCUCCUUGACCAGCAGCUCUCACUGAGCUCAGGGUAAGAAGAAGACAACCUGGCUCCAUCACAAUUCAAUAUGGCUCCACUGGAAUGGUCCUGAAGCAAUUAGAUGUAAACCAUUUAGGUAUGUGCUGAUAUGUUGCUUGUUUGAUUCCUUUCUCCUUUUAUUCCCUAAGAGUGUGACUAUAACUGGUAUGAUCAUUUUUAUUUUACACCUGAUUGUUCGGUAUGACUGUUUUCUUUUUGUUGAGUUGAUCACUUGGUGGAAUUCUCUUUCUCCUUUGAAUUUUGGCUAUGCUUUGUGAUCUGUAAAAUAAAUGAAUCCUAGAGAAGGAUGGACA